rnacentral:rRNA from 1 species
GCGCACCAGUCGAGAAUCCUUCGCAAUGCGGGAAACCGCGACGAGGGGACUCCCAGUGCCUACGCUCAGCGUAGGCUGUUCCCGAGCCUAGAAAGCUCGGGGAGUAAGGGCUGGGUAAGACGGGUGCCAGCCGCCGCGGUAAUACCCGCAGCCCGAGUGGUGGCCACUAUUAUUGGGCCUAAAGCGUCCGUAGCCGGCCCGGUAAAUGCCUGGGUAAAUCGUGAGGCCUAACCUCACGAAUUCCGGGUAGACUGCCGGGCUAGGGACCGGAGGAGGGAGAGGGUACUCCAGGGGUAGGGGUGAAAUCCUGUAAUCCCUGGAGGACCACCGGUGGCGAAGGCGCUCUCCUAGGACGGGUCCGACGGUGAGGGACGAAAGCCAGGGGAGCGAACCGGAUUAGAUACCCGGGUAGU